GGCCUAUCAGCUUGUUGGUGGGGUAACGGCCCACCAAGGCUUGGACGGGUAGCUGGUCUGAGAGGACGAUCAGCCACACUGGGACUGAGGCACGGCCCAGACUCCUACGGGAGGCAGCAGUAAGGAAUAUUGCGCAAUGGGCGAAAGCCUGACGCAGCAACGCCGCGUGCGGGAUGAAGGCCCUCGGGUUGUAAACCGCUUUCAGUAGGGAAGAAAAUGACGGUACCUACAGAAGAAGCCCCGGCCAACUACGUGCCAGCAGCCGCGGUAACACGUAGGGGGCAAGCGUUGUCCGGAUUUAUUGGGCGUAAAGAGCUCGUAGGCGGUUUCGUAAGUCGGAUGUGAAAACUCCAGGCUCAACUUGGAGACGCCAUUCGAUACUGCGAUGACUUGAGUCCGGUAGGGGAGUGUGGAAUUCCUGGUGUAGCAGUGAAAUGCGUAGAGAUCAUGAGGAAGACCAGUGGCGAAGGCGGGUCUCUGGACAGUUCCUGACACUGAGGCACGAAGGCUAGGGGAGCGAACGGGAUUAGAUACCCCGGUAGUCCUAGCAGUAAACGGUGCACGUUUGGUGUGAGAGGAUUCGACCCCUUUCGCGCCGGAGCUAACGCGUUAAACGCCCCGCCUGGGGAGUACGG
rnacentral:rRNA from 1 species